rnacentral:rRNA from 1 species
GUGGGGAAUAUUGGACAAUGGGCGCAAGCCUGAUCCAGCAAUGCCGCGUGGGUGAAGAAGGUCUUCGGAUCGUAAAGCCCUUUCGACAGGGACGAUGAUGACGGUACCUGUAGAAGAAGCCCCGGCUAACUUCGUGCCAGCAGCCGCGGUAAUACGAAGGGGGCUAGCGUUACUCGGAAUUACUGGGCGUAAAGGGCGCGUAGGCGGCUCUGUUAGUCAGGCGUGAAAUUCCUGGGCUUAACCUGGGGACUGCGCUUGAUACUGCAGGGCUUGAGGCCGAGAGAGGGUGGUGGAAGUCCCAGUGUAGAGGUGAAAUUCGUAGAUAUUGGGAAGAACACCGGUGGCGAAGGCGACCACCUGGCUCGGUUCUGACGCUGAGGCGCGACAGCGUGGGGAGCAAACAGGAUUAGAAACCCUGGUAGUCC